rnacentral:rRNA from 1 species
UUCCAGACUCCUACGGGAGGCAGCAGUGGGGAAUAUUGGGCAAUGGGCGCAAGCCUGACCCAGCAACGCCGCGUGAAGGAAGAAGGCUUUCGGGUUGUAAACUUCUUUUAAGAGGGAAGAGAAGAAGACGGUACCUCUUGAAUAAGCCACGGCUAACUACGUGCCAGCAGCCGCGGUAAUACGUAGGUGGCAAGCGUUGUCCGGAUUUACUGGGUGUAAAGGGUGAGUAGGCGGUAUGGUAAGCCAGAUGUGAAAGCCUUGGGCUUAACCCGAGGAUUGCAUUUGGAACUAUCAAGCUAGAGUACAGGAGAGGAAAGCGGAAUUCCUAGUGUAGCGGUGAAAUGCGUAGAUAUUAGGAGGAACACCGGCGGCGAAGGCGGCCUGCUGGACCGUAACUGACGUUGAGGCUCGAAAGCGUGGGGAGCAAACAGGAUUAGAUACCCCAGUAAG